rnacentral:tRNA from 1 species
ACAGGUAUAGCUCAAGAGGUAGAGCACAUGCUUAGUGUGCUUGAGGUCCUGGGUUCAAUCCCCAGUACCUCCU